rnacentral:lncRNA from 1 species
CAAACUUAAUAGCAUUAUAAUACAUCAAUAACAUGUAAGGACAACAAAAAUAUAUAAACUAAGCUAUUACAGAACAUGAAUGUAAUUUGAAAAGCAAGAAAGUAAAAUUCGAAAAGAAACAAGUUGUAUUCAUCAUAUUUCCAUAUUCAAAUUCCAUGUUACACUUCAUGUGUUAUUCAUAGUCCAAAAGAUACCUGAAAAUCAAGAGAAAAGCAAGGAAAGUGAGGGAUGAACAACAGCAGUAGAUCAGCUCAAUAAACUCAGCAAAACUAGCUUCUUUCCAAACAAAUUAAACCCAGAAGAGCCUAGUUCUUUGGAGCCUUUUUAGAAUUCUGACUAUCAGGGAACUCAAAGAACAAAACCAAGCAAGUUUCAUACCAUUUUCAGUAUUUUCAAAGUUUGAAAGAGAAGGCUCAGCCGUUUCUAAAUUUUAAUCUUGUAAUCCUCCGAAAAUUUUCCCUUAGCAAUGAAGGAAACAGCCAUUUCUAGAAAACCUUUAGGGCAGCAGAAAUGAUUUCUAUUUUUACCAAUCAACCCUUCCC